rnacentral:lncRNA from 1 species
AGAAGUUCCAUUUCCCGAAUUUCAUUUCUCUCUCCAGACAAGCGAAGAAAAUAUUCCUAGGCAUAGAUUCGACAUAUGAGGUCACGGGGGAGAGAUUCUGGCGGAGACCCUGCUUGGACAAAGCUGCCUGACGAGUGAGGCUGAUAUGCCUAGAGCAUCAUUAUGCUUCUAGUUGAUAUUGAACUUUGGGACGCAAGAGUCCAUAACCCUGAGGAGGAGCUCAGUGGUCAGGCCUUGGUUUCACAGGGUGUCUUUCUUCUUGCUACAGAAGGGACAUCGUGCGGCAGUAGUAUGCUUUACUAGACUACCUUUCGCUUUUUCUCGGUCGUAUCGGUAUGAAAGAAAAUUUGAUUACAAUUUUGUAUAAAGCUUACAAUAGAGAAUUUGAAUGUAUUUACAGUAAAUUGAUAUUUGAUUGAUGAAAGCUGAAAAUUACAAUUGUUGGUGCAGGGACGGACACUAGUGAGCUUGAAAGAUUUUUGAAUGACU